CAUUCUGCAAAGUGAUUAGCAUGGUAAUUUCUCUUGCCAUACAUCAGUAGUAUGUAAAGUGGGAUUCUUCCUUAUUGUUGGGAAUGCUGUUACACUGUCUUCUUUAACAUUAUGGUUGACUUAUAUUGUAUAUUAUGUUUUAGCUACGAUCUGAUCAAGAAGAUUCUAGUGAUACAUCUGUUGGAGGCAGCAAAACCUUUGGUGACUGGUGUUACUCUUUUUGCUAUUUAUCUGUUAAGAAGUUUCCAGUGAUGCAUUUAAGGGACUCCAAUGUGCUUUGUUCCUCUAUGAAAAGCAGCUCACAUAAUUUUUUUCUUAAGAUGACUACAAACACAUUGGUUGGUAUGGAAUGCCGGCUACCCAAAGUCUUGGUCCCUUGUUAUGUACAUAGAUGUCAUAAUAACUCAUACAAAUACUGUAUUUAUGGUUCCAUGUAAUGUGAAGCUUUUGCCCCCUUCCCCCAUCUUCUCACUAGAUGAUACAGUUCCCGUUCCCUGUUGCCAAAUGGUUGUUGUUGACAGCAUUUUUUUAAAAAAAUUGGCUUCACUAAGGUUCUGAUUUCAUGGCGUGUUCUUACUAUUUUGAUGUGGUAUUGGGCUUUGGUGUUCCCAGGAGCAUUUUCUUUUCAAUAACUAACAGUUCCAUAUUGUAAUGUAAACAGUAUUAUAACAGUUGUGAUGCUUAAAAUUCAUGGUUACACAUUGUUGUCCCCAUGUUUACCUAUGAUACAAGAGAAAUUUCUAAAUUAUGUUGAUAUUUGUUUGCUGACUGGGCAUUGAUCAUGUAUUGUUCGUUGCUUCAGAAGCUUAAUUUACACAGAAAAUUUACGGCUCAAGGAGAUCCAAUUAUGUAUAUUUUAUAUAUUAGUAAAGUUUGCUCAUAUUCUAUGCAUUAAAAUAUACAUGUAGACAGUGGGUCACCCAAAAUUUUUUAAAAAUCAUCUGGUUUUCCUAAUGUGUUUUUAUAUGUAAUUUUUCAUUGAUUUCCCAACCCUCAAAUGUGCUUCUCUUCUCCCAUUUUCACUAGGUCAUUUUCUAAUUGUGCUGAGAUAACAAAAACUAUGUUUCUUAUCUAACAUAUACUGUGCUUUCUUGGAAGAUCACAUAACUGCUGCCUCAAUUUUCUGACUCUGUAUUUAAAUGCUGCUUUUACCUAUUAUAGCAAUGAAAAUGAUCAUUUAAUAUGAUUUCUGACCCUAAUAUUCUGAGAUUUUUUUGUCCCCCUCUUUUGGUUUUCAUGGCUGCAUUUAACAUAAAAUGUACCUGUCUAAUUCCCUCUUUACAGAUCUCAUGAAGGAAUGUUAAGAGUCCUUUUUUUUUUCUUUUAGCUUGACAUCCAUUUUUAUUUAAUAUUUCAAUUCAAAUAAUGCCCUUAAAUUUUACAAGUUUUUUACUAGAAGAUAAGAAUUUAUCUAACUGUCAAAUUUUUUUAAGUAUUGUCAUCUAGACGUGUAAGGUUAGAUGAUCAUGUAGCAUUCAAAUAUUAUAUUGUGUAGCAAUUCUUGGUAAUUCUUCCAACUGUCGAUUCAUACUUUGUAACUUGCAGGAUUCUUUUUCUCCUACAGCAUU
rnacentral:misc_RNA from 1 species